rnacentral:rRNA from 1 species
AGUGAACGCUGGCGGUAGGCCUAACACAUGCAAGUCGAACGGCAGCACAGUAAGAGCUUGCUCUUACGGGUGGCGAGUGGCGGACGGGUGAGGAAUACAUCGGAAUCUACUUUUUCGUGGGGGUUAACGUAGGGAAACUUACGCUAAUACCGCAUACGACCUACGGGUGAAAGCAGGGGAUCUUCGGACCUUGCGCGAUUGAAUGAGCCGAUGUCGGAUUAGCUAGUUGGCGGGGUAAAGGCCCACCAAGGCGACGAUCCGUAGCUGGUCUGAGAGGAUGAUCAGCCACACUGGAACUGAGACACGGUCCAGACUCCUACGGGAGGCAGCAGUGGGGAAUAUUGGACAAUGGGCGCAAGCCUGAUCCAGCCAUACCGCGUGGGUGAAGAAGGCCUUCGGGUUGUAAAGCCGUUUUGUUGGGAAAGAAAAGCAGCAGGUUAAUACCCCGCUGUUCUGACGGUACCCAAAGAAUAAGCACCGGCUAACUUCGU